rnacentral:rRNA from 1 species
AACGAACGCUGGCGGCAUGCCUAACACAUGCAAGUCGAACGAAGGCUUCGGCCUUAGUGGCGCACGGGUGCGUAACGCGUGGGAAUCUGCCCUUGGGUUCGGAAUAACAGUGGGAAACCGCUGCUAAUACCGGAUGAUGACGUAAGUCCAACGAUUUAUCUCCCAAGGAUGAGCCCGCGUAGGAUUGGAUAGUUGGGGGGUGAAUGGCCCACCAAGGCGACCAUACUUAGCUGGUCUGAGAGGAUGAUCAGCCACACUAGGACUAAGACACGGCUCAGACGCCUACGUGAGGCAGAAGUGGGUAAUGUUGGACAAUGGGCGAAAGGCUUAUCAAGCAAUGCCGCGUGAGUGAUGAAGGCCUUAGGGUUGUAAAGCUCUUUUCUCCGGGACGAUAAUGACGGUACCGGAGGAAUAAGCCCCGGCUAACUUCGUGCCAGCCGCCGCCGUAA